UACGGAGGAUCCAAGCGUUAUCCGGAUUUAUUGGGUUUAAAGGGUGCGUAGGCGGUUUUAUAAGUUAGAGGUGAAAAUUCGGGGCUCAACUCCGGACGUGCCUCUAAUACUGUAUGACUAGAGAAUAGAUGCGGUAGGCGGAAUGUAUGGUGUAGCGGUGAAAUGCGUAGAUAUAUGGAAGAACACCAGUGGCGAAAGCGGCUCUCUGGUCUGUAACUGACGCUGAGGUUCGAAAGCGUGGGUAGCAAACAGG
rnacentral:rRNA from 1 species